rnacentral:lncRNA from 1 species
CGUUGAGUGAGCGCAUCAUUAGAUGCAUUUAUGCCAAGCUCAGGGUGCUGUCUGCAUAGUAUGCCUUAGUUGGCCAGCUGCAUGAUUGGCAGGCAGCCUGACAUGCAUUCAUGCCAGGCUGGCCUUCUAAUUCUUUGGGCAGACAUGUCCUCUUUUUGGGCAUGUUCGCCCCUUUUGGCAGGUUACGUGAUUUGUGUCAGUG